rnacentral:rRNA from 1 species
AGACAGAGGUGGCAAGCGUUAUCCGGAUUCAUUGGGCGUAAAGCGUGUGUAGGCGUUUAGGAAAGUCGAAUAUAAAAUCCUAAAGCUCAACUUUAGGGCUGUAUUCGAUACUUCUUAAAUGGAGUAUAACAGUGGUAGGUAGAACUUUCGGUGUAGUAGUGAAAUGCGUUAAUAUCGAAGGGAAUACCAAUAGCGAAAGCAUCCUACUUGGUUAUAACUGACGCUGAGACACGAAAGCGUGGGGAGCGAAUGGGAUUAGAUACCCCAGUAGUCCACGCUGUAAACGAUGGAUACUAGAAGCAGGAAGUAUCGACCCUCUCUGUUUCGAAGCUAACGCAUUAAGUAUCCCGCCUGGGAAGUACGGCCGCAAGGCUAAA